GACGAACGCUGGCGGCGUGCUUAACACAUGCAAGUCGAACGGAAAGGCCCUGCUUUUGUGGGGUGCUCGAGUGGCGAACGGGUGAGUAACACGUGAGUAACCUGCCCUUGACUUUGGGAUAACUUCAGGAAACUGGGGCUAAUACCGGAUAGGAGCUCCUGCUGCAUGGUGGGGGUUGGAAAGUUUCGGCGGUUGGGGAUGGAUUCGCGGCUUAUCAGCUUGUUGGUGGGGUAGUGGCUUACCAAGGCUUUGACGGGUAGCCGGCCUGUGAGGGUGACCGGCCCCAUUGGGACUGAGAUACGGCCCAGACUCCUACGGGAGGCAGCAGUGGGGAAUAUUGCACAAUGGGCGGAAGCCUGAUGCAGCAACGCCGCGUGCGGGAUGACGGCCUUCGGGUUGUAAACCGCUUUCGCCUGUGACGAAGCGUGAGUGACGGUAAUGGGUAAAGAAGCACCGGCUAACUACGUG
rnacentral:rRNA from 1 species